UUAUAUAUUUAUGUGCAUGGCUUUAGUCGCUGUGGUAUCCAAUCAUGCAAGGCAGACAGGCUAGCAGGUAGGCCUAAUGCACUGCUAAUUGGCAGAGGCAUGAUACAGGGAGGGAAGACAACAAGGGGGUACGACUUGCCCGCCCAAGGGGACUGACAAUGGCCUAUCAGCAACUCCAACCCACAACUCUUCAGACACAUCGCAGCCCUUCAGCAGACAUGUACUGAUGAUGCAGGCAGUGCAGCAGGUGUAACUCUGGAGGUACCAGUUCAGGAAGUGGGAGCCUGACAUCUCAACGCCCGUUGCAACUAUUCUGAAGACAGUUCAGGACAUCUCAACGCCCAUCUGUUCAGCCUGGGCAUGCAUAGCUUUAUACAGCAAUGGGACUAGGAAGGCACAUGCUUGCAGGAAAGAGAUACAUGACCAACCUCAAACACUGCCUAGGCUGAACAGAUGUCGCGCUCAUACAUGAGCUGUCGGAUGAAGAGCUCAUUUUUGUACAGCAGUAGUGGUUGGCUUCGGACUUGAGAGUUUGCGACGAGAAACAUGGAAUGGAAUUGUGGAACCUCCUCAAGAGGUGAUUUAUAGUGUUA